rnacentral:tRNA from 1 species
CUGCGGUUAACUCAGUUGGUAGAGUGCUGGCAUUGGAAGCCAGAUGCCGGUGGUUCGAGUCCACCAUCGCAGA